rnacentral:rRNA from 1 species
UACGUAGGGGGCGAGCGUUGUCCGAAGUUACUGGGCGUAAAGCGCGCGUAGGCGAUUUCUUAAGUCUGGUGUGAAAGGUUCAGGGCUCAACCCGAACAGUGCACUGGAUACUGGGAGACUUGAGUAUGGGAGAGGAGAGCGGAAUUCCUGGUGUAGCGGUGAAAUGCGUAGAUAUCAGGAGGAACACCGAUGGCGAAGGCAGCUCUCUGGCCUGUAACUGACGCUGAGGUGCGAAAGCGUGGGGAGCAAACAGG